UGCAAUUUGAUCUGAGAAUGGACAAACAGAGUAAGUUGAAAUAAACUUUGUCAACAAACGGAACACAAAGAACAAGAUAUUCAAUGUGUGUCACAUUAUGGUGCAUUCUCUUCCAUCUAUAGACAGCUAAUGCUAGCACUCUAUAUUUAUUAUGCAAUGACUUUUUUGCCUUUUUACCCAUCAUCCAAUGUUUUCUGUACUAAUCGCCGAGGCUUGACGACAGACUAGUGGACAGUCCCAUGGGCGGUAGCUUUGCACAUUUGAAAAACAGAUUGAGAUUCGGUGUUCUCUUAAAAGCGCGAUUAUGUGUUUGGCGAAAUCAGCGCUCAGACCAGCUUUAGAUAGAGCCCUCCAUACUUGUUGACCAAGCAAUAACAAACAUUUAUUAUAACACAAGCAAACAACAAACAAAUAUUACAGCAGAGCUGUAACAAACCAUCAAUUUUAUAUAAAAGCUUAUCCCUCCCCUCCUGUUGGCAGCCCUUUUCGGGCAUGCUGUAGGGGUAGAUUACAGGUUUGACUGUUGUAACGCGACUAAAAAGAUUAUAGCCUAAAAUUGGAUCGUUCAAAAGUGUUCUAAACCACGCGAAUGUAGUUUUAAAAAAAACUUUCUGAUCAUAUACAUGUAUUUCGAAACAUCUCUGAAAUUCAUCGAAACGUGUGUGUGAGUGUGUUUCAUGGGUGAAUGUUGUUUGUGUUUGCAUCUAUAUUGUUAUUGUUAUUAUAGUAGGUAAUAAUACUGAAUUUGACAAUUGUGGUCAAACUGAUUUUCUAUUUGUUUGGACCAAACUACAUCUACCUACAGUCUAUGUACAACUGUGACCUAUGUACGACACCUGUCUACAUUCAACUUGUGCAUACCGACCAGUAUCUACAUUAGUAUAUAGAGUAAAUGGUAAUUUACACUUAAAUGAGUUCUAUUAUUUGAAACGAAUUAAAAUGGCUUUCUCCGUUAUGUUUCUGUUUAAAAACGCCAUCACCAAAAUCUCACAGAAUUGAGUGUACAUGCUGUUGUUCUUUUCCUUAGCUAAGUGUUUAGGUACAUGUUUAAGUGUUUAGCUAAGUGUUAAGUUAUCAGUAAGCGUCCGCUAUUUUAGAAUGUUUAGAAAAUGUUUUCAAACUAAAUUCAACAACCCCAAGUUCCACAGAACAAUGUUUCCCAAUUUCUCUCAUCUCUCUCUCUCUUUCUCUCUCUCUCUCUCUCUCUCUCUUUCUCUCUCUCUUUCUCUAAUCUCUUUCUCAUCUGUCCCUUGACUUAUGCCGUAGGCUACUCUGACAGUUCGCGUAACCAACUCCCUGCAUUUUUACCGGUCAGUAGCUAGUGGGAUAUCGAGAGAGGCUGGUCCAUUCUUUUACAUUGUCCAGCCAGCUUUUCUUCGAACGACCCUUUCUUCGUGCUCUCUCCAGUGUAGCGUGAAGGAGGUCUUAAGACAAUCACGUCCUGCAAUAUGGCCAAACCAGCUCAGCUUUCUUCUCGUCCCAAUGUCUACCGAAUCAUAAAACUAUAUAGAUCUAGAAAUGUACACUGUCAUGAUCGGUGUCAUUUUGUCUUUGUGUCUCUAAGGGCGAACUUGUAGCUCGAGAUCCUGGCGGGUCUAACGAGAUCCUGGCUGGUCUAACGUACGUUUUUAUAAUUUUACUUAUCAAAAUGUUGAUUUUAACCAACGGAUCAUUUAUAAAUUUUUAUUGGAAUCCACCAAUCAUUAUAUUUAUAGAGUAUUUAAGAUUUUUUUCGACUCUUUUUUUUAGUAAUCACUAUGAUACUUUAUAGUGACUUGUUGGCCAACUGUAUGAGAACCAUUGUCUUUUGGGGUAAACUCGGUGCGUUCUUCUUUAAACAAACACACACACACACAAAGUUUUGUUGAUUCUUGAGUUUUGUUAUCUUUAUUACCGGAUACAAUACAUUGCAAGACGGGAAUGGUGUAUUUGUUAGUGUGUGUGUGUAGAGAUACAAAGACAAUGUCACUGAGGAUUCCAGACCCCAGGAUGUGUGUGUAUGUGCGUGCGUGAAAGCGUUCAUGUACUCCGUACAGGCAGGCAGUGAUAGCGUGUUUAGUCAGGCAACGGCCCUACUUUUA
rnacentral:sRNA from 1 species